rnacentral:rRNA from 1 species
GACGAGGGGUCCUAGCGUUGUUCGGAAUCACUGGGCGUAAAGCGCGUGUAGGCGGCUUGGUAAGUCAGAUGUGAAAGCCCUGGGCUUAACCCAGGAAGUGCAUUUGAUACUGCUAGGCUUGAGUAUGAGAGAGGGUAGUGGAAUUCUUGGUGUAGUGGUGAAAUACGUAGAUAUCAGGAAGAACACCGGUGGCGAAGGCGGCUACCUGGCUCAAUACUGACGCUGAGAUGCGAAAGCGUGGGGAGCAAACAGG